rnacentral:rRNA from 1 species
AGAGUUUGAUCCUGGCUCAGAACAAACGCUGGCGGCGUGUCUUAAGCAUGCAAGUUGAGCGGCAAGGAGGAGAGAUCCUCCCUAGAGCGGCGGACUGGUGAGUAACGCGUGGGUAAUCUAUCUUAGGCAUGGGGAUAGUCACUAGAAAUAGUGGGUAAUACCGAAUAAGUUCCAUAAGGGGAGGACUUAUGGAAGAAAGGUGCUACGGCACUGGCCUUAGGUGAGCUCGCGUCCCAUUAGCUAGUUGGUGAGGUAAAGGCCCACCAAGGCGAUGAUGGGUAGCCGGCCUGAGAGGGUGUACGGCCACACUGGGACUGAGAUACGGCCCAGACUCCUACGGGAGGCAGCAGCUAAGAAUAUUCCGCAAUGGACGGAAGUCUGACGGAGCGACGCCGCGUGGAUGAAGAAGGCCGAAAGGUUGUAAAGUUCUUUUGCUAGGGGAGAAUAAGUGUGGGAGGGAAUGCCUGCACGAUGACAAGGACUAGCGAAUAAGUCCCGGCCAACUACGUGCCAGCAGCCGCGGUAACACGUAGGGGGCGAGCGUUGUUCGGAAUUACUGGGCGUAAAGGGCAUGUAGGCGGCUUGGUAAGCCUGGCGUGAAAGACUGCAGCUUAACUGUAGGGAUGCGUUGGGAACUGCUUAGCUUGAGUUACGGAGAGGGAGCUGGAAUUCCUGGUGUAGGGGUGAAAUCUGUAGAUAUCAGGAAGAACACCGAUGGCGAAGGCAAGCUUCUGGCCGACAACUGACGCUGAGGUGCGAAAGUGUGGGGAUCAAACAGGAUUAGAUACCCUGGUAGUCCACACUGUAAACGAUGUGCACGAGGUGCUGGGGCGGUAGUUUCAGUGCCGGAGCGAACGCGGUAAGUGCACCGCCUGGGGAGUAUGCUCGCAAGGGUGAAACUCAAAGGAAUUGACGGGGGCCCGCACAAGCGGUGGAGCAUGU